rnacentral:rRNA from 1 species
AUAUGAAGUCGGACCUGCCCAGUGAUUAAAUUUAACGGCCGCGGUACUCUGACCGUGCAAAGGUAGCAUAAUCAUUUGCCUUAUAAUUGAAGGCUAGAAUGAAUGGUUUGACAAGAAUAUAACUGUCUCUUUAUAAUUUAGUAGAAUUUUAUUUUUAGAUGAAAAAGUCUUGAUUAAAUUAAAAGACAAGAAGACCCUAUCGAGCUUUAAAAAAAUUAGUAAAAUAACAUAUUAAUUGGAUUAGAAAAUAAGUUACUAAAAAUUUUGGUUGGGGCAACCAAGGAGCAAAAAAAUCCUCCUUUAUUAUUAUUAAACAUUUCUAGUAUUGAUCCAAAAUUUUUGAUUAAAGAAAUUAGUUACCGUAGGGAUAACAGCAUUAUCUUUUUUAAGAGUUCUAAUCGAAAAAAAGGUUUGUGACCUCGAUGUUGGACCAGAAUAUCCUAAAGAUGCAGAAGUCUUUAAGGGUUGGUCUGUUCGACCAUUAAAAUUCUA